AAAGUGGCAUCCGUCUUAUACUCUAAGAAACUGUACCUUUGGCGAAAAGGUCCCAGGCCUACUUUUGUUCCACAAGAUGUAUGGGAUAGCUGGAAGAUAUAUUGGGCAUCGGAGAAGUGGCUGGACAAAUCUCGUAUCGCCACUCAGAAUCGAUACGGUGCCUCGGUGGUCCAGGCACCGGUCCAAGCAAGCAUACUGGUGGUUCUAGGUCAACAGUGGAGCAUACUAUAAAAUUGUCACUAGAACUACGUCGUCCAGCAAAUUCAUGGGAUGUAUUUCAAAAGCUGCACAAAAGAAAGGAUGGCAGCUUUGUUGACACCAAGUCUAAGAGCAUUAAUGAUAAAAUGGAGGCUGUGGUGGCUGCUGCUAUUUCGAGCUCAUCAGAUGGGUCGCAAGAAGUCCUAGAACUCGAUGUAAAUCGCCUAUACUUGGAUGUCGUGGGUGGAGAGAAAAAACGACAUGUGUAUGGAUUGGGAUCUCAAGGUUUGACUAUGUACGAAGACC